rnacentral:rRNA from 1 species
GGGACCGUAGGUUGGUCGUGCCACCGGUACGUACUGGUCUCACUGAUUCCUCCUUCCUGAAGAACCGUAAUGCCAUUCAUUUGGUGUUGCGGGGAAACAGGACUGUUACUUUGAAAAAAUUAGAGUGUUUAAAGCAAGCUAACGCUUGAAUACAUUAGCAUGGAAUAAUGAAAUAGGACGAUCGAUCCUAUUUUGUUGGUUUCUAGGAUUGACGUA